rnacentral:rRNA from 1 species
UAGGGAAUCUUCCGCAAUGGACGCAAGUCUGACGGAGCAACGCCGCGUGAGUGAAGAAGGAUUUCGGUUCGUAAAACUCUGUUGUUAGAGAAGAACAGCGCAUAGAGUAACUGUUAUGCGUGUGACGGUAUCUAACCAGAAAGCCACGGCUAACUACGUGCCAGCAGCCGCGGUAAUACGUAGGUGGCAAGCGUUGUCCGGAUUUAUUGGGCGUAAAGCGAGCGCAGGCGGUCAAUUAAGUCUGAUGUGAAAGCCCCCGGCUCAACCGGGGAGGGUCAUUGGAAACUGGUUGACUUGAGUGCAGAAGAGGAGAGUGGAAUUCCAUGUGUAGCGGUGAAAUGCGUAGAUAUAUGGAGGAACACCAGUGGCGAAGGCGACUUGCUGGACUUCAACUGACGCUGAGGAACGAAAGCGUGGGUAGCAAACAGG